AUUGAACGCUGGCGGCAGGCCUAACACAUGCAAGUCGAACGGUAACAGGAAGAAGCUUGUUUCUUUGCUGACGAGUGGCGGACGGGUGAGUAAUGUCUGGGAAACCGCCUGAUGGAGGGGGAUAACUACUGGAAACGGUAGCUAAUACCGCAUAACGUCGCAAGACCAAAGAGGGGGACCUUCGGGCCUCUUGCCAUCGGAUGUGCCCAGAUGGGAUUAGCUAGUAGGUGGGGUAACGGCUCACCUAGGCGACGAUCCCUAGCUGGUCUGAGAGGAUGACCAGCCACACUGGAACUGAGACACGGUCCAGACUCCUACGGGAGGCAGCAGUGGGGAAUAUUGCACAAUGGGCGCAAGCCUGAUGCAGCCAUGCCGCGUGUAUGAAGAAGGCCUUCGGGUUGUAAAGUACUUUCAGCGGGGAGGAAGGGAGUAAAGUUAAUACCUUUGCUCAUUGACGUUACCCGCAGAAGAAGCACCGGCUAACUCCGUG
rnacentral:rRNA from 1 species